rnacentral:lncRNA from 1 species
ACUUCCGGUCAGAACAUCAAUGACCGCCAUUUGAAUCAACAAAAGGAGCUGUAACACUGUGAGGGUCUGGUCAGCUGCUUCAUUCUUGAAGUCAGUGAGACCGCAAACCCACCAGAAGGAACCAACUCCGGACACAGAGGGACUAGAUAAUACUGGCUGAAUGAAGGAAUAUGAACAAGGCCACUUGAAUCCCUACUCUUUGGGCUUCUCCAGUAAAGUGGAUUCACUAGUAUAAGAAUGAGAGGCAUCUAUGUUCUCUAAUUUCUAAAGGUGAUUUCUAUCUUAAAAAUAAUAAUUAGAUUGAAGCACCCGGAUACCUUCUCAACCAUCAUCUUACAUGUAAAGUUCCUGGUAUAGAGCUCAGCACAUUGUCAUUCUCACAAAUGGCAGGCAACUAAAAUGAUAUAAGAUGCCCUUCUUGCAUGGCCGUAUAUCUUGAGCUUAUGGAUGAUUUAUUGCAACUGGCUGUUACUUCUCUCCCUUGAGCUCAUGGAGGGUGUCUUGGUCCUGAUUAUAUUUCAAGCUAACCUUCCCACUGUGAACUACUGGCAUCUUACUUUUUGACCCCUUGACAAGAAGAACUGGAGUUACCAAAAUGCUGUCAUUUAAGGUGUUGGAGUGGAAACCAGAACAUUACCUAUUAUCAAGAAGGGGUUUCUUCUAAGGCAUUCAGGAGCCUCAUGGUUUUGUCAGCUGAAAUAGUACACCCACUAUAGAGUAGAGUGAAUUUAGUGUUUAUUUCUGCUGAUGAUGAAGGAGCCAUUCCAAAUUACUCUACUGGAAUUACAUUGAACAUGGACAAAAAUCUUCAAUCAAACAAAUUCAUACAAAAGGAAUUCAGGGUAUUUAAUCAGAAGAGAAGGAGACAGAGGAGGCAAAGAUACCAUUUUCAAGUGUCGGGAAGUCCAUAAUGUCAUUUAGAAGAGGGCAUGGUCCUGUUCAGUGUUGCGUGUAUUAUUGCUCCUUUCCAUGCCUAUCUCAAUAAAGAAAAUAGAGCAGAUUUUAGUUCAAUAUAAUCAGUAAACAACACUCAGGUAUAACACAGAAACAACAGUUCUCUAGAAAUAUAAGGCUCUCCAAAAUUGUAUCAAUUCAAAUAGAAGCUAAGUUCCUAUAUGACUUUUCAUGAAUAUAGUAAGAAUGACUUCUUGCCUAUGUGAAAAAUGGGACUCAACUAGAUGGCCCGUAAUUUGCAACUCUAAAUUUCUAGUGUACAUGACUGAAUGAGUAUCUGUAAUAUGGUUUGCAUUCCCUAACCUCUUAGGGAGCUCUUAAAAAGUAUAAAACUGGUCACAAAUAUUAAUUGAGAAGGUUGCAAUCUAUUGAGGAGCCCAGUGUCAGUUCUAAGAAAAAGAAAUGAAAGAAUGCAAUGCAGGAGUUCAAUAAAGAAAUUUCAGAAUAGA